CAGUGCAAUAUUAAUUGAAAAACAAACCACUGGUCAACUGACUGACAAGAUAUUAUUAUCAUCUGGCCAAUGUCAUCUGGCUCCAUUGCUGUCUUUUUAGAUGUUGCUUCAAAACGUUUUCAGUCUUUAUUUUGUAAUUUUUACUCUGCAUCAUAAUGCUGAAAUCGAUCAAAGAUCAAAUCUUGCCUCACUUAGAUUAAAGUGUCCACAUCUUCAACUUGCCAGCCACUCGAAGUUGAUGUGUAGACUCAUCAGACAUUUUCAUUCAUUCCUCCUUUUUAAAGAGAGGAAACAGAAUGUGUGCAUUUCUCCUCGCUGCCCUCCGUGUAACUCUGUGCGUCGAUGACAAAAAAACAGAAGAUCUUGGGAACAAUUUGUUGCCCCCCCUCCUCCCCCGGCUGCAGAAAAUUAUGAACAGUGAGCUGCACUCACAUUCUUGCGCACAGCCAAAUGAGGAGGCGCCUCCGCUCCCGUUCUGGGCCAAUGGCGCACAGAGCAGCCUUAUCAUACUUAUCCCCGGCUGGCCAAUGGCGCACCUCUACCCGGCUCACAUGACGCCUUUCUGUGCGCUCCCACUCCUCUCAGCGCUCAAUCCCGGCGAGUGCAGGCAUCACUGAAGACCUGACACCGGCGGAAUCGGACGUCCACUGUCCUCAGCAGAAUUAACCAGGUGUUAUCUUAUGCAAACUUUAUCGCCAUCAGAUGAAGCUGACCAUCCUUUCGAUGAGAAUGACCCUGCUUCGCCGGAGGAACAGACUUUUUUCCGUCUCCAAACGACCGGAGAGGCGCAGGGGCGAGACAAUAACGCCCAGAAGUUAUUGAAAUGAAUCGUCAUGAAAGGAGCUGGCAUGAGAAGAAGAAACAGAAUGAGCGCUAGCAGCGUUAUCCUUCACCGCAGAGAGAAGGAAGGGAAGCAGAACACAACAAGAAAAAGACAAAAGUGAUGAAAGAGAGGUCCAGACACGAAGGAGGCACGCACGGGCACACACACACACAUACAAUGGCACCUAGAGUCUGUCUGCGGUCUACCACCACUCUGCCACACACACGCACACACGCCUGUUACGGGCAACAGAUAAAGGGGGCGACGCCAUUCCAGCUGUGAGGAGACGGAAGAAGUCAACACACACACACACACACACACACACACACACACACACACACACACACACACACACACACAGCCGGAGGCGUGUGAGCAGGUGAGCAUUAAGUCAGGCAGCUAAACAGAUCACGUCGCGGUAUGAUAUCUGCAGACAGGCAGACAGAGGAGGCCGGUCUGUACCUGCAGGCAGAGAGCAACAACUCACAGCACCCUCGCCAGGAAUUUCCUCCCCUUCCUGAGAGAGAGAGAGAGAGGGGGAGAGAGAAAUAGUGAAGGAGAGACGGACAUAAACUGGAGUUUCCACUGAAGUGUUUUUAUGCAAACCAAGUAGUAAAGCCUGAUUAGAAAACGUAGCUGGCAAAUUUUCUUUUUCCUGAUUUCUUUCAAAUACCUUCAGUGUCACAAAAUAUUUUAACUUUGACAUGAAGCAGAUAGUUUUGGUGCUGAUUUAAAAAAUAAAAUAAAAAUGUGAUUAGAAGCAGUAGAGACACAUUUACUAAUGUAAUAAUGGGAGGCCUGUAUUUCAGCCCAGCAUCUCAUUAAAAGAUUUCAGAAGAGGCUUUGGUCAUUCGGAUUUUUUGUCGGUUAAAUUUUUGUGCAUUGCGACUACCCAGAAUUCGUACACAUGUUGUUUCUCCCAUAUAAAGUGCUUCAAAAACGUAGUACUUUUGUGUUUUUAAAACACUUUUAUUACCAAAAUUAGCUGACAAUAAAGGAUGAUAACAUCAUUACUUAGUUAGUCAAUGUCUUAAUAUUUAUUUUCUUGUAGAAGGUUAAAUAAUUGCCCGAUUUUAGAUUUCAGCUCAUUUGUAGUGAGUUUUACAGUGACAUGUGCAGUUUAAUCCCUGAAAAUGUUUUCUUUUUAGCAUUUAGUUUUCAUAUUCAACCAGUUUUAUGAUUAAAAAAACUUUGUCUCAUAGAUGUAAUUUUUUAGUUUCAUCCAUAAUUUUUUCAAGCAAAAAUUUGCUUUUUUCUCACUUAAGAGGACAGUGAAAUGGAAGCGUGGAGAAAAAAAUACUGCUGUGUGGACAAAAAGUAGCACAAAAACUGUCCCAAUAUGCCUCCUCCUUUGGUUGACCACAUUUUUAGCCCAAUAUUCUCCCUUAACCUCAGCUGAUGAAAGGAUAUCCAAUGACGUAAAAAAAAGUAUGGCACAUUCACACGCUACUGUAAUAUCGAGUACAGAUGGGUCUUUUGUUAUUUUGGAGUAAUUCGAUCACCUCCUGUAUAAUUUGUCUUUCUGGAAUUACUAGGGUGUUUUGACAGGGUUCACAGUACUAAUUGUGAAACUUUGUGAAACAGUAUCCGUUACACAAACUUGUUUUGCUAGUUUGCUUUUGUUAGCGCUCCUUGGAGCAGCGCUGACAUUUUUCUUUACAAGUUUUUAUAGCUUUAUAGCUUUCUUUCAUUCACAAUCUGCUCAGCAUAUGUGGCCUUUAUCUGUGGCGUCGUGUAUCACAUUCAUAGUAAUUCCCCUUUUGGAGAUGUCCAUUACAGUUGUGGUUUUCCAUUAAACAGCUUCACUGAACAGACUAUGGGUUAUGUUGUUGCUCAAGAGAACCUCAACAGUAGUUACUAAUUAAAGGAGAGCUAUCAGUUCACAUCUCCCGCACAGAGUUUCUCCCAACUGGUUCAGCAAUUUACCACAAGUCACAAACUUGCUUCUCAUCUCUUCCAUCUACCCUUGUCAUUGAAUUGAAGUUGUUUCACUCAUUGGGCAGAUCGUCCAUGUUCUGUGAUCUCCAUUAUUUCUUUGCUGUGGUUUUUUUCUUGUGUUUUUCAGAGCUCUUUAUAUUUAGCCAGAAAAAUGCCUCCUGAAUUUUUUACAAGUCACAACUCCCCACACAAACUACCACAUCCACUUAUCUAAAGAUGAUUCAGUGGUUAAAUGUCAGAGCUGUCCGUGCCAUUAAGGCCAACAUGUUUGAAGGAAGGACACCCUUGCCUGCCCCCCCCCCUUGUCUCUUCUUAUUCCUGUCACUCUCUCCCUUCUCCUUCCCCUCUCCCCUUACCUCCCUCAUCAUCUACCCCCACCCCACCCAACCCAGGCUGGUUUGAGGGCUGAUGUGCAGACCUUGUCAUUCAGAUUAGGGCCACAUUGUCAGCUCAGGGCCCUUCUCUCUCCAGUUGCAAGUCUCGGAUCUUUCUUCCCACUGUCACCCUCAUCCUGCGGCCAGAGAAGACCUUAUAAAGCAACAUUUCUUCUCAUCCACUUCUGUCAAUUCCAACACUGUCACUCAAAUCACUGUUCGGGAGAGUGGAGAGAAGCAGAGUUAGAGGUGUCCCUCGCAGCAAGGACUGUGCUUUUUGGUCCGAGCUUGGGUAACGUGUCAGCGGAUACCAAACUGUUUUUUGACAGAGGUGUUUUGAGUUGUGAUUAUUUUUUUUAUUUUUACUCACAACUCACAAGCUUUUCAGAGUAACACGUUAACUUAGAUAUACAGGAAAUGACAAAGUAGAAGCAGCUCUUGUGAUCCAAAGGAGAGAAGAGAAGCAGCAUACUCUUCGUUGUCACGCAUGUAGUAGAAAUUCAAGUCUUCACAAAUCUUCAAGAGUAAUACUGAUUUUGUUUUGCUUAAUAGUAGAGACUAUCAGAGUCAUAGUGUUAUUUUUAACUCUAUGUUUUCUGUGUGAAAUGAGUAUUUGGCAGGACAUGAGAUAUCCACCACAUCAUCUUAGUCACCCCUUAUCCUGCUCUGUAAAAGAGUCCCAGCACCAUAUUUAUCAUCCAACCACAUCUUGACUCACUGCCACUGUUUUAUUGUCACAUCAUAUCUAAUUGCUACAGCAGCUCUGUGGUAUUUGAUUUUUGUGCUUCUCACAAACUAUGCGCUUUUUUUCUCUCAUGAUGAGCAACAAUGAUUCAGCAGUGCGUAAUAAAACCUUUCAUGGAAGAUGGCGGACAGUUCCUUUACUGGUAUUAGUGCAAGAAGAAAGAAAAACACCCUGGUCUUCAGCCACAGUGCCACAUCAUAGCAAAACAACAGAUGCUAUUGAUCUGGCAUGUGAAUGACCAAUACCAGGUGCAAAGAAUGUGGACAAAAAGCAGAAUUAGGUAUUCAUGAUGUAUGCAUGUAUAUAUAUUUAUCGGCAGCAACUCUAGAAGACCACAAAUGUAAAUAGAUAACGACUAAUAUUCGUAUAUUAUCUGAUGAGCCUAGAUGGAAAAGAUAGCAUCAUCAAAGUACGGUAAAACAUUCAUGACUUUUUCAGUGACCUUCCCGCACAGAGAAUGACAGAGGGAUUUAGUGAGAGAGAGUAAGAGUUAGAAGCCUCUCUGCCCACAGAGAAGACUUGCUCCUUCUGCUUCUCUAAGCAGACUGUCAUCCCUGGUCACCAUCAGGUCUGUGCUCGCCCCAGUGAACAUUCAACGCUGUCGGUGAGUUUCAGCUAAAUUGAAAAAACCAUCGACCGUUGAUUGUACCCUGUGGCCAGCCUUUGUUUCUCAGUGUCUCAAAAAAGGACAAAGAGGUAAAAAACCCAUGCAGAAACCUGCACUCAGGCAUGGCCAAUGACUCCUUGAACAAUCACAUGAAGCACUGCCUCCAUCCUCCACAAACAAACAAACAAACAAAAAAUACUUCCAGCUUCCAAACCACAGCAAAGGUCACAAUCAACAUUCAUUGCUGUCGGUGGGUUUAACUGUGUGGAAGAGCUCACUGAACGAUGAAUGCAACUGUGUCCCAGAUUUCAUCUGAACGUCAAAAGGAAUAACGUCACGAUAUGCUGAUGAUGGCAUUAUUUAUUUUUCUGCCUGUCUCCCUUUGCCUCCCACCAACAACAGGCACACACAGGCGGUGUGAAUUGACAGGCAGUUCAGAUUGCAUCUCGAUCACGCUUGCUGGGGUGGAGGGGUCCGACUCUGGCUACAGCAGCAGAGGAAGAGGAAAAAAGAUGCAAGUGAUAGUUGGAAGAAAAUGACCUUUAAAGAAAAAUACACAGAGAAUAUAUGGCUUGCAUUGCAUCUAGGGUCUGAUAAAUGAUUUAGUUGUAAAUAUUACAUGAAAAAUAAAUAGCAAGAAUAUGUUGAAUAUGAACAGAUGCAUUCCAAGAUGGUAAGUGAUCUUUUUAGAUAAAAAAGGAAUUGUUCAAGAUAAGACCAUCAGCUAAACCACUAAAAUGUAAAUCUAAAUAUGUUAGAAUACCAUCAUUUUUAAAAUGUUUGUCAGUUUGGGAGAACAGAUAAUUUAACAGCUUUCAAAUGGUCAUUUUGGAACAAAGCUGUUUAUAUGUGGAAUAAAAUAUGUACAUGCUUUUCAUUCAUGUUAGAGUCUGGCAAACCAUUCAAGAACCAUUAAGUUGUAGAACUUGACUAUGUAUUUGUUAUAAUACCGCAUGCUAUUUGAUUUGUUUGUUUAUUAAAUAAAUUGUCCCCAGUUCA